rnacentral:rRNA from 1 species
AUAUGUGAAUACAUAGCAUAUCAGAAGGCACACCCGGAGAACUGAAACAUCUUAGUACCCGGAGGAAGAGAAAGAAAAUUCGAUUCCCUUAGUAGCGGCGAGCGAAACGGGAAGAGCCCAAACCAACAAGCUUGCUUGUUGGGGUUGUAGGACACUCUAUACGGAGUUACAAAGGACGACAUUAGACGAAUCAUCUGGAAAGAUGAAUCAAAGAAGGUAAUAAUCCUGUAGUCGAAAAUGUUGUCUCUCUUGAGUGGAUCCUGAGUACGACGGAGCACGUGAAAUUCCGUCGGAAUCUGGGAGGACCAUCUCCUAAGGCUAAAUACUCUCUAGUGACCGAUAGUGAACCAGUACCGUGAGGGAAAGGUGAAAAGCACCCCGGAAGGGGAGUGAAAUAGAACCUGAAACCGUGUGCUUACA